UGCGUAGGCGGUGUUCUAAGUCUGUCGUGAAAUCUCCCGGCUCAACUGGGAGGGUGCGGCGGAAACUAGAAUGCUAGAGUGUGGGAGAGGUAAGCGGAAUUCCUGGUGUAGCGGUGAAAUGCGUAGAUAUCAGGAGGAACACCUGCGGUGUAGACGGCUUACUGGACCACGACUGACGCUGAGGCACGAAAGCGUGGUAGCAAACA
rnacentral:rRNA from 1 species